UCAACACAAUGAUGAUUGCAUAGUUCAGCAGAUUUAACUAUGAAGAAUAAGCUUUCUGUCUUUCGCUCCUAUCUGACGUGUUGA
ensembl:snoRNA